UGGCCACAUUGUGUUGAAACACAGGUUCCCAUACAAUCACCGAAGAUAAGCAACACUGAGCCUGGUCAGUAUCUUCAUAGAAGAUCACUUGGGAAUACCAGGUGCUGUAAG